rnacentral:rRNA from 1 species
AUACGUAGGUGGCAAGCGUUGUCCGGAUUUACUGGGUGUAAAGGGCGCGUAGGCGGGAAUGCAAGUCAGGUGUGAAAUCUAUGGGCUCAACCCAUAAACUGCACUUGAAACUGUGUUUCUUGAGUGAUGGAGAGGCAGGCGGAAUUCCUAGUGUAGCGGUGAAAUGCGUAGAUAUUAGGAGGAACACCAGUGGCGAAGGCGGCCUGCUGGACAUUAACUGACGCUGAGGCGCGAAAGCGUGGGGAGC